AUUGAACGCUGGCGGCAUGCUUUACACAUGCAAGUCGAACGGCAGCGCGGGCUUCGGCCUGGCGGCGAGUGGCGAACGGGUGAGUAAUGCAUCGGAACGUGCCCAGUAGUGGGGGAUAGCCCGGCGAAAGCCGGAUUAAUACCGCAUACGACCUGAGGGUGAAAGCGGGGGACCGAAAGGCCUCGCGCUAUUGGAUCGGCCGAUGUCGGAUUAGCUAGUUGGUGGGGUAAAGGCUUACCAAGGCGACGAUCCGUAGCUGGUCUGAGAGGACGACCAGCCACACUGGGACUGAGACACGGCCCAGACUCCUACGGGAGGCAGCAGUGGGGAAUUUUGGACAAUGGGGGCAACCCUGAUCCAGCCAUGCCGCGUGCGGGAAGAAGGCCUUCGGGUUGUAAACCGCUUUUGUUCGGGAAGAAAUCCUCUGGGCUAAUACCCCGGGGGGAUGACGGUACCGGAAGAAUAAGCACCGGCUAACUACGUG
rnacentral:rRNA from 1 species